CGAUGGCAGUAUUAUUUGUGUUGUUGUAAUGUAAGUCAGCAGCCAGCUUCUAGCUAGGCACAGUUUACCGCACUGUCUCGUAGCUUGAAAACACGUGCUGAGUUUGGGGAGAGAGGUGGGCAGUAGCUGGUGGGGCAGCUCGGGAGUGUCGUCCAGCCAGUAUUGAUGUCCAAGUCUUGACCCCAGACUGCGUGGCUCCUUGUGUACUAUAUUAUAGAUGAAGAAGUGAUCUUAUCAUGGGUGCAUUUCUAGAUAAGCCAAAAACAGACAAACACAACGAGAAUGGGGUCGGCAAUGGACUUCGGUAUGGGCUGUCUAGUAUGCAGGGCUGGCGCAUUGAAAUGGAGGAUGCCCAUGCUGCUGUAGCCAAUCUUCCUGGUGUGCUCAAGGAUUGGGCAUUUUUUGCAGUGUUUGAUGGCCAUGCCGGUGCCAAAAUAUCGGCCCACUGUUCUGAACACCUCCUGAAUUCCAUCACAUCAGGCGAGGAAUUUCUACCAUCCUCGAUUGCUGAGUUUGAAACAGAUUCAGAGGAGAGGACUAUAAACAAGAUUAAGAAGGGUAUUCAUGCUGGUUUUUUGAGACUAGAUGAGUCCAUGCGCCAAAUGCCAGAGGUUGCCAGUGGAGAAGACAAGAGUGGCACAACUGCUGUAUGUGCCCUAAUUUCUCCAACGCAUGUGUUUGUCGCCAAUUGUGGAGAUUCCCGUGGAGUCCUAUACCGUGGUGGUGGUAUUGGGUUCAGCACACAGGAUCACAAGCCAGUCAAUCCUACAGAAAAGGAGAGAAUUCAAAAUGCAGGAGGAAGUGUGAUGAUACAAAGAGUCAAUGGUUCUCUGGCUGUUUCAAGAGCACUUGGAGAUUAUGAGUACAAAAAUGUAGAGGGGAAGGGUCCUUGUGAACAGUUAGUGUCCCCAGAGCCAGAGAUAUACGUGGAACGCCGGCAAGACGAUGAUGAGUUCUUAGUGUUAGCAUGUGAUGGAAUUUGGGAUGUUAUGACCAAUGAGGACCUGUGUGCCUUUGUGCGGUCACGACUUCUCAUCUCUGAUGACCUCGAAGCCAUUACAAACCAUGUUGUUGACACAUGCCUUCAUAAGGGGAGCAGAGAUAAUAUGAGCUUAGUGUUGAUUACUCUGCCAGGAGCACCAAAAGUUUCAGAAGAGGCUAAGAAGAAAGAACAAGAACUAGAGGACUUGAUAGAAAAGAAAGUAACUGAGUUAUGUAAACAGGAGGGGCAAGUGAGCAUUGCACAGAUAAUGCAGUCCCUUGCUGAUGAAAAUCUACCCAAUCUUCCUCCUGGUGGAGGUCUAACAUCCAAGCGAGGCUUCGUGGAUCAGAUAUUCAGAAAAUUACGACCUGACUGUGCAAACUUGGAUAACAUGGAAGAAGUUGAGGAUUAUGGUGGACUGGUUGGUAAUUUGAUGUUCCUCCCAAGUACAUCCAUGCAAGACAAGCUAGCCUCCAUUUUGGAAAUCUCCCGAUCCCGUGAUGACUCAUCUUAAGAAAGUUGGUGAUGAUGCAGGGUUGCUCAGGGUUAGGUUGGGGGUACAAGGAUAAUGAUGCCUACAGUAGUGAUUGUUGCACCUAGGGUCUCCUGAUCUUAUCACCAGCCACAGCUACCCAGCGAUAAAAUAAAAAAAAAAAUAAAUAAAAAAUAAAUAAAAACUUUUAAAGUGUUGAUGUGCUGAUGUUACAGUUUAUGCAAGUGUGCAGAAGCAUUCAACAGACAGGUCAAGUUCAGUGAUGAGUUGACCUUGGGUGAAGCCUUAGUGAUGCUUUUACUCACCAUUGCAUGACAAUUUUUGGUCAUGAUACAUUAAUGUUAUUUGUGUUAAUGGUGGGGAAGUCUGUGGGAAUGUUUCCCUGGGUUCUUAAUGAUGAUAGUUUGUAAUCCGGGCUCACUCAUGUAGCUUUCUAGCUGUGUAACUUAUUUACUUAUCUGCCAUGAAUUUUUGUAAGAAAACCCAGGUACGUAUUACCUAUGAUACAUUAGAGAACCCAGUUGUUCAUUUGCCAACUACUCCACUGCAUGGCUAUGUCACGGAUCUGAGAGGUGUUAUUAGAAGCAGAAAAAAUGUGUGUGUAAUGCUGUCAGGCCUGAGGCUUCAUAUAUGGUUGAUGAGUCACUGACUUGCCCUAAAUAUUUUUGCAGUCAGAUGUGCUAGUUUCAUAAUGUGAUAGUCGUAAUGCUUUCCCCUUCCAGACAAAACUUAGUAUCACCUGUGAAUCACUGAGUGUAUAGAGCCAGUCCAUUUUGAUAUAUAUAUAUAUAUAUAUAUAUAUAUAUAUAUAUAUAUAUAUAUAUAUAUAUAUAUAUAUAUAUAUAUAUAUAUAUAUAUACUCAUACAUAUAUAUAUAUCACACACACACACACACACACACACACACACACACACACACAGUAUAUAUAUAUAUAUAUAUAUAUAUAUAUAUAUAUAUAUAUAUAUAUAUAUAUAUAUAUAUAUAUAUAUAUAUAUAUAUAUAAAGGUCAUAGUUAAGACUGAAAUCUCGCAAUUAUUAAUCCUUACUGUAUGUUUCGGUUUAUAAGGUAACUGAUCUUGUAAAAAAAAACUAUAGAUUUUCAAGAAAAGUUUAGUUUUUGAACUAUUUUCUCUAUAUUAGAUGCUGUCCUCUCCCUUAAUGGUGCACCUGUUCAAGAGAAAUGAGGAUUCAGCUGAACCUUGUAGGAUUGUGAAGGCAUAACUGCCCUUUUAAUGGAAUGAAUCCAGUUCCACAUGGAUGUUCAUGGAUGGUUUCCCAGGUUAUUUAGUACUCUUAUAACAUACUAACCACACCACCAUUAUGUAUCCAUCAAAUUUUAUUCGAAACUGGCCUCCAGAAAAUCUUUAUCUCUGCACUUGCCUCUUCUUAAGGGAAUAUUCCACUUGGAAAUUUAUGAAAAAUUAAAAUUUCCCAUUAUGAAAAUAUUUCCUCUAAUGCUGCCAUUAAUUAGCUAUAUUUUUUGCAAGUAUAAAGGCUGUAUCUCAACUUUUACAAAGUAAAAAUUGAGAUACAGCCUUUGUAUUUUUUGAAACAGUAACCACUACUUUUAAAAAGAAUAAAUAGAUUGAUGCAUUCCCUCCUUGCUUUGUGGGUUGGUCACAUGUGUUGCAUUAUUUCCAUUUUCUGUUCAUGCAUGUAGUUGACAGUAGGAGAAUUCAUGUAAUUUCAACAAUGUUUGUGCUUCAGUAUGAUAAUUUGGGCACUCCUUUUGGAAACUGUACAACCAAGUAGUGUCUGGGCUAGAAGAGAACUUUAUCAGUGCUGGCUUAGGUUUUUGAGAGGAAGGAUGCAUACCACCUCUUGUUCUCAUAUGAUGCCAGUGUUUCUGCAUUUAUAAGUCCUUGGAAGAUUCAUUCUUGUCUGUCAAGACUCUCAAGCUAUUGGAGAAGGCACAGGCAUACCAUAAAAAAGCCCCAUUGUCCACAGAGUCUAUUAAUCACAGUGGAAUGAAGAAAGACAGGCAUUGUCUCACACUACACAUAGCACAUCUUUAUCACAGAAUCUAUAUUUUCAAUAAUCAUAGGUUGUUCUCUACCUUGUUGAGAAGGAAAGUCAGUUACCAUGGCACUACCACAGCAAACAACUAAUGUGAUGGUAAACACCAUCAAUGAAUUUGACAAUCCUGCAAAAAAGUAUUAUGUAUGUGACAUGUGACUGCAUGAAUCCUGAUGUGGCAACCAUGCAUGAAGUUCCACAUUUGCUCUCCUGCCUAUGUCCACACUUCCUUUAGGCUCCAGUAGUACUGUUUUUGCAUUAUUGUACAUUUUUCAAAGACUUUAUCUGUAGCUUUUUUUUUUUUUUUUUUUUUUUUUUUUUUUUUUUUUUUUUUCUCUCCAAUAUGGAAUCUUGUGGGUAUGACCCUAACAAAAGUAAGAACAAUAGCAUUUUGAUGUGUUGUGGUGUGUGUGUGUGUGUGUGUGUGUGUGUGUGUGUGUGUGUGUGUGUGUGUGUAUAUAUAUAUAUAUAUAUAUAUAUAUAUAUAUAUAUAUAUAUAUAUAUAUAUAUAUAUAUAUAUAUAUAUAUAUAUAUAUAUAUAUAUAUACAUACAUACAUACAUACAUACAUACAUACAUACACUACUACCACCACAACCACCACCACCACAACCACCACAACCACAACUACUAGUACUACUAUUGUAAUUAUUGUUGCUAUUAUUACUUUAUUGAUUUAUUUUUAUAUUAUUUUCUUUAAUUUAUUAAUUUAUUUUUUAAUAAAUAAGUAAAGUUAUAGAUCUGGUUGCCAGUUUUCUGUGUGUGGAUGUAAUAUAUAUAUAUAUAUAUAUAUAUAUAUAUAUAUAUAUAUAUAUAUAUAUAUAUAUAUAUAUAUAUAUAUAUAUAUAUAUUACACACACACACACACUGCAUUCUUCUUUACAUGCAAAAAACAUGAAAGAUGGUGGUGGUCAUCAUUGGCAGGUAACAGAAUGAGUUGGAGCUUGAGUACUUGACUUAAUGCUCAUCAUCAUGUUAUAGAUUUGUAUUUUACCAUGAGUAUAUAAGGCAAGCCAUAGGUUUGAGAGAUUUAUAAUAUCCUUUAAAUAGCAUCUUAUAAACCGAUGUAUAUGGUAUUUAUUAAUUAACUCUAUAAAAGGAGGCGCUCAGUACUCAGAUUGUGAUUCCAAGAUGAUUUAGGACUAUACUUAGGAGGCACACUGGAGGUUGCCACCACACAGGAGGCAAAAGUGAAUGUUACAAGGCAUACACAAGAUAAGACAGGGAUUACUACUGUGUGGUGCCAUUGAUGGUGUGGUGCUUCUGAGUACUGGCCAAGACUGUCUCUUGAAGGAAAGUGUGUAAGAAUAUAAUAUGUUAAUACAGUUAAUAAGUUUUAUGCUUUUCUCUGCAUACACCUCUUAUUUCAUCUUACUUUGAAGUGAUGUUUGUAGAUAAAAUAUAAGACUGAGAAAACCUUGUGUUCAUAGUUCUUGUGAGACUAUGUUCCAAUAGUAUAUAGGCUUCAUGUGCCUGUUUUCACAAGUCUUUAGGUAGGCAUUUGCCUGUUUGAAAAGCAAAUGACUUACCUGACCUGAAGCUUGAUAUAGAGUUUAAUAUUUUCAUUAAAACCAUUAUUGAAUAGUUCAAAGACCCCUAGGCAGUGGUUAUUUCCUCAUAGAGUGGGUCACUGCCCAGGGUUGGUGGGCUAUGCAGUAACCAGAAAGGCUCCUGUGUUACUUUUCUCAUUGCCAGUAACAGCCAAAUGGCUCCGGCUUACCUAAGCUCUGACACCUGUCCAAUAUCUCAUGGCUUAAAAGUAUUUAAUCUGUCUUGUGUAAGAGAGAAAUGUAGAAUUUUAUCUGGAUAUUCUCAAUAUUUAAACAUUUUUGUUCAUGAAUUUUGGUUAUUCAUGAAUUUAUCCAGUCCUUUAUUGGAAACUAAAAUGAAAAUGACAGUUAUAGAAGGCAAGCUUAUAAUCUGUUUGAUCUCUUCUACUCUUACCCCAAUUAUGUGGAAUUCCAUUACAAUGUCUAUAUUAGAAAAGUUUCCACUUCUCAAGAAAUGUACACUUACUUUGGCAUAUACUUUGGCAUAUCCCAUCUUUAUUGUUCUCCUAUUUCUCCUUUUUUCUCAAUUAUUUCAGCACUAUGUUUUAUGAGUCUCAUCACGAGACGAGGUAUAUCUUCUUGUGAAGAAGGCUGGCAGUUUGUAAUUUUGAUAUAUAGUGUUUUUAGCUAUGGGGCCUUCAUUUUGUUUUUAAUCUAUUAAUAAGACUGGCAUGAUUUUUUUUCUUGGACAUGUUGGUAUGAGACAACAGAAUAAGAAAAUUAAAAGUGUAAAAAAUUGGAAUGAGAAAAUGAAGUUACCAUCACACACUGCUGGAGCUUGUCUCUGUUGUUAAAUAUUAUAAAAUGACUUAAUUAUAUUUAUUUUGUUCCAUCCUUCUUUCAUUGUUCUAAUGCCCAAUACUAACAUGCUUGUCAUAGAAUUAUGAGCUUCAUGCCUAAGAAAUAGGCAUGAAACUCCCUUUGCCAAUGUUCUGAACUUUAUGCAAUGUAUAGUUAAGCUGUCAAUACUUCAUCCUGAUACCAUCUCUUACCUGAAGACCUAGGAGACAGUUGUUUUACUCAUUCACUAGGUAUAUUUCACAGAAGACACUGAUUUUAAGUAUUUGAGGGAACUUUGAAAUGAAACAAUCAUAUACAGGCAGGCUAUCUAUAUUUGACCUACUUUUAUUUUUAAAAGGUUAAAUUUGUAAGAUCACUUAUUUCAUGGUUACUGCUCACAAUAUUAUUUAUGUAUUGAAGUAUAUAGAUGGCUAACACUAUCAUCACCUUAUGCCACCUCUACUCUGCAAGCAGCACAUAAUAUCUAUACCUUUAAAACUGGACAAAAAAUUAUUUUUGGCAGGUUAAUAGUGAAGUAAACAACAUUGGCUAGUUAGCAGAUGUUGCUCAGGAAGGCUGGAAAGUUGUGGGUUACAUGUAACUCACUGAUUAAGGAUGAUGCAGAAAAAACAUAACAUAGCAUAUUAAUAUUAUUACUUCUUGUCUAUGGUUGUAUAAUUUUCUCCAUGAUUAGAAGAACAAGAUUGGGAAUUAUAACAAAAACACCAACAAUUAGUAUUGUGUCAUGUACAGUCAUGCAGGUACUUAAAUAGGUAAGGAGUGCUUGUACUAUUCAAGCAUGUUGUUUACUGGCAGAGCUUACAUAUAGAAAAGCUACAUGUAAACUAGUAUAGAAAAGGCAAUUUCAAGCAUAUUUCCCUUUAUGUUAUCAUGGUCACCAUAUACAUCUGGCCAUUAAAUAAUACAGAAUUUUAUAUUUUUAGGGGUAUCCUUAAAAAAGUUUUUUUUUAACAAAGCAGACAACUUGAGACUAAUGAUAUGACAAUAUGUAGGUUCAUCUGUGUUGCUUUCUAUCUCUGAUUUAGUGUGUUUACAUAUUGAAAUGCUGCUGAAGUGUUCUACUAAGGCUGUUCACAAAUAAUUAUUUUCAAUAUAAUGAUACCUUUUCAGUGAAGUAAAUGUGAAAUGGUCAGACAUAAAUGUAGUCUGAUAGAGCAUUAACUUCAAUUUCUUAGCAAUAUAAUACUGCUGACCCACUACCUAAUAAUUUCUUAGCAAUAUAAUACUGCUGACCCACUCCCUAAGCCCAUUGUGCAUAGCUCAAAGUUCAGAUAAACCCAUCAUGAGUUGAGAAUAUCACAAGUCUAAGAAUCAUAAGAUUUUUUGCAGUUCUGAAUUUGUUUUGUAUUCAUGUUUUCAUGCUCAGUGAAUUUAUAUUUGAUGGUUCACAGUAUGUAUGUCAUCCAUCUAGAACCCUCAUAUCAUGCAUUUGCUUUAUUCCUUUAUCUUUGUCAUCUCCCAUCAUGCACUUAGUGCAAUGACUAUAUUUGUUUUGUCUAGAGGCAUGAAAAUACAACAUCAGACAUUUUAAAGGCCAACAUAUCUGACUUAUUUCUGAAGACUCCCCAAAAAGAGAUGGCCAAAAGAGAAGAGUCUAUUUAUUUUGUACUUGCAUCUUUGCAUACCUAAAUUUUUUCACUUUUCUCUUCCUUUUUGUUCUCAUUCUUCAGGACUGGCCUCACAUGUCACCUGAGGAUGUCCUUUCACACACACACACACACUGUAUUUACUUGUCUCAUACUCACUUCAUCUCAUUUUCUGCCAUUUUUCCCUGUGGAUGAAAUAUUUAUAUUUCACAGCUCAGCCACUCAUUUAAUUUCUUCAUAUUUUCUUAGCAUGCAAAUUGUCUCUGCAUACUAGAGACUUAAACCUUUCAAGUGAUUCAUUGUAUUUGAUUCUUGAUCACUGUAAUCUAACACCAAACGUGAAAGUGCUAUGGCUAAAUAAGUCUUGUCUAAAAACAUAACAUGGUAUCUGGUGUAUAAACAGGCAAAACAUUCAGUCAACCUAUUAGGUGAUCCAAGUCCUGGCAGGAAAUAAUGCCUCUUACUUAGACUCUUCCAUCUCUACCAGACUUAGGCCACAUCUUAGAUGAAUUAGCAAACCUCAACAGAUAUGGUGAUGGAUGUGUAAGUUGGAAAAUUAAGUGAUAUGUUUUUUUCCAUGGUUGCCUCAAGUCAACUGUACUUGUUGCCAUACAAACACAAGUACAUUGCACAUUGAAGUUACAUCACUUUCUAAUGUCUCCACUUCAUAACAUUUAAUUGAGAUUCUUAAUAGCCUGGUUGGUGAGAGCAAUUUAAGAUAGGAAGAUAGUUGAUUUAAAAAAUAAAUGAACACCAACAGUAAGCAAAUAUCCCUAGAGACCGGAAGGUGAAGAAAUUGUGUCAUAUUGCAUUUCAAAAUAUAAAAUGGGAAAGAAAGAUUUCUACAUCACAAUAUAUUCAUAGAAUACUAUCUUAAUUAAAAGUACAAUUUGUUUUUUUCUUGUGACAAGUAAUUCCAUCUUUUUGCCCAAAAAUAUAUAUGGUUCAGCAUUUACACAAGUAUACAUACAAUAUUCAAGAAAGAGAUCUAUAAAAUAUAUAUAGAUAAUGGUUAUAUGAAUAAUACAGUGCUUUAUAAUGAAAAUUAAUAUAAAGGAGGGUUGUGCUUCAAGCUGGUCACAACUGAGAACACCUUGCAGUAACAACAACUGAAAAUAUACAUGUGCUGCAUGUAAUUACCAUCAUUCCAGUGAUUUAUAUUGUUUCAUACUUAUGCCUGAGGCUGGAGGCAUGAACAUAUUUAUUUCAUAGCAGCAGGAAACCUGAUUGUUCAUGACUAGGAUGAAGAUGGAGGAUGUGGAAUGUUGCCUCUUUGGUAUCUUAGUGUAUUGCAUGCUAAUGGCUUCGGCUUUUGGCUUUUCAAAUGUGUCAAGAGGAGAUUAAACAUUUACUGCAUGUUGGGUUAAUUUAAUUUUCUAGACAUUUAUUACUGAGUGUAACCAAAUAUUGCACUUGUGUCAUUGUUUGGUAAAACAAAAUGUUUGUGUUAGUGGUAUAAAGCACAGCACAGAAGGAUAUGGUUUUGCACUACUUGGUGGUCACUGUUGGAUUUCACACAUGAUAUUGUAUAUUCAGUGGAAGACUGUGUAUUGGAUUCAUGUACAAAUAAGAAUUUUGAGAUGAUUGGAGGCAAUUCAGAAAAAAAAGAAAAAGUUUUAAUAUUGUGUACUGGUUAAUUUUUUCAGCUGUGUUCACCAAUAUAUGACAAAACAUUAGAUGUGCAUUAUAAAGUUUUCCUUAAAAAAGAAGAAAAGGAAAUAGAAAGAAAGAAAAAUAAAAGUGAGUAUACAUACACAUAAAGAACAUAUACUCUGCUGCACAUGCAUAAGGGGAGCUUGCCUGCAUCAUGGUUUCCAACAUCAUAAUGUUCAUGAAAAUUAGUACUAAAACUCACUCAUUUAUUAGAAUUCAUGGAAGUAUUUAUAAGGACUCAAGGAGCCAAAUGAUGAUGAAUGUUGAGGAUCCACUGUGUGUGUGUGUGUGUAAUUCAUGGUUAAUCAGACCAUUGUCUAUAAAACAGUUAGAUCAUGAGAUCACACAAUACAUAUUUUGUCAGGACUUGGAAGCACAGUCUUUUGCUCUGUAUAAAUCAUGACUUUUCAUGAAAAAUUUUAAUUUCUCAUAAAUGUCAUGUAUACUUUUAGUAGGUACUUACAUACUGUAUGAACCCUCAGUACAUCAUGGUAGAAAAUUAGAUUUUUUUUUUUUUUUUAACUCUGAUGACAAACUGACAGCAAUUUUAUCUUUAGAAUAUAUUCACAUAUAAGUUUCCUUCAUUGUAGUUGCCAGCUUAUAAGAUGCACAUCUUCACAUGCAAAUUUUAUUUAUUAUAUUUGCCUAUAGGAUGUAAUACCUGCUUUAACUGGUGACAAAACUAUCACCAACAGCAAAAGUGUUGCAAGUACAUUUGUCAGGGAAGUAAUGUGGCCAAGCAUGGGAAAGAGAGAUGCAACAAGGGAAGAGCAUGAAUGACAUGCAAAUUUAGUUACAAUACAUAUUUAAAAUAAAAACAUAGUUGAAUAGUUCUAAAAUUUGUUGAUUACUUAUAUUUGUGUUAUUGGGUAUUGUGUACAAGUCAAAUAUCAAGUUUCUUAUUAUCGCAUGUGUAGUUGAUUUCAUGUAACAGUUAUGACUGGAAAUCACCUCUUGAACAUCUCCCCCCUCUCCCCCCCCUCAAAAAAAAAGGACUAAUUUUUUUUCUUUUGUUCUUUCAUUGUUUGUUUAUGGGCAAUAUGUGAAGAGUUUAUAAUACAAGGGAUGAACUAAACUAGCCCUCAUUUUUUCAUUUUUUGAUUGACCCAUGUACUACUAAAUGACUAUAAAUGUACAAGUUCAUCCUUUGUAUGUUCAACAUCUCAUAAUAUAAUCAAUGAUUUCAACAGUGCAAUAUUUUCAGUGGUCAGUUUUCUCUCAACUAAAGCUGAAUAUAAAAAUUGACAGUGAUCUUAGACCUCAACAUAAUAACUUUUCUCAAUUUCACUGUUAGUAAAAACCAUAGCUUCUUGGUAAAUUAGCCUAUAUUGUAUUUACAUAUGUGUUCAAUAAUUAAAUACUUAAAAGCUUUACAGCAAAGACAGUAAAGAGCUAUGUAUUUUCUUGCAGAAAGGAUAGAUGUACCUUUUGGAAGACAACUGAUCCAUUGUGUGCCAUAGGAUAGACUGUGUCUUUAGUUUCCUAUUUGACUUUUCUUAGAUACUUAUGUGUUAUGGUUUGUGAUGGUGUCCUUCAAUGGAUUUUUUUUCACUGUUGAUUGUUACUGGUACAAAAUGCACCAUUCUAAACCAUGACCGUGUAAGUAAAGUACUUCUGGUUUGCUAAAGCCAUGGUUAAUUUUGGAUCAAAGGAUACACCUUUGUUUUAAUCUUACUGUAGGAAGCUUUAUUAUGUUUCCCUUCACAAGUCUUCCUAUUCAUUAAGUUCAUUGAUUCUUUACAUUAUGUUGAAAAGAAAACAAAAUCCUACUCAGAUAAGUAGAGUAGCUAUCAGUUGUGGGGAAAGGUGUUUCAGUAUUCUCAUAUUCUCCAGGUGGCAGAGCUUAGUGAUCCGCAAAGGAAAGGAACAGGUGUUCUUGCUAUUUGAUAAUGGUUUUAUUAUAAAUUGUUAUAAAAAAGCACAAAAUGUUACUAUAAUAUGAAAAAUUGACCACUGAUUGUGUACGAUAUAUUGUUAUUAUACUUUGUACUUUACGUGCUCAGGAAAAGAUACAAAUUUUAUAACAGAAAAUGGGCAGAUGAAAGUGGCAAUCAAU